GAAUCCUGCCUAGCAGAAUGACCAGAGAA
rnacentral:rRNA from 17 species